rnacentral:tRNA from 1 species
CCGGGUGUAGCGCAGAGGCAGACGCGGCCGCAUGGCAUGCGGUAGUACGCCGGUUCGAAUCCGGUCGCCCGGG